rnacentral:rRNA from 1 species
UACGUAGGGUGCGAGCGUUAAUCGGAAUUACUGGGCGUAAAGCGUGCGCAGGCGGUUCGUUGUGUCGGCGGUGAAAGCCCCGGGCUUAACCUGGGAAUGGCCCGUUGAAACUGGCGAACUGGAGUGUGGCAGAGGGUAGUGGAAUUCCCGGUGUAGCGGUGAAAUGCGUAGAUAUCGGGAGGAACAUCAGUGGCGAAGGCGGCUACCUGGCCCAAUACUGACACUCAGGUGCGACAGCGUGGGGAGCAAACAGG